ensembl:lncRNA
GCAACCCAAGAUAUUUUUUUUCCACUUUCUUUCUGGAACUUUUUUUAAAGGCUUUAGAUUUAAUCUGUGAAUUAUUUUUAAAGAGAAUUGUGGCAAUUGAUGCAAAUAUCAGAGAUGGUAGGGUUUUUCAGGUUCUUCUUUAUUAGAUGCUGUCUUACAGCAACAUCUAGUGGUACGCUAUCUCUGCAUCCUUCAGCUUGCACUGGAAGAGUUAAGAUGAUAAUUAACUAUGACAGGUUUACACACACAUACACAACGUGGGAGGCAUUACCCCAGCUGGUCUGGGAACUACUUACACACCUUUAUGGUAGGCUAUAUUUGUAUAAGCUCUCAGUGUAGAAGAAUGGGAGCAGAUCAGUAAUAAACUCUUUGUGCUGAGGACCUGAACUCCAAAAUUUAUCUCUUUGGAGUGUUUGCUAAGCCUGCGCUCAUUUCUAACUCAUCAUAUCACCUCUUUGGAUCAAUGCUGUCCUGCAUUCAUCACUAGAUGUUCAUCUUGUUAGCAUUUGGUACAUUUAUG